CAAUUUGUUUACCGCUCAUUGGUGUGAUAACUAUCUACGCUAUUGACGGUGAAAGCAUGUUUAGCUUUCUAACAGUCCAUUGACUUGGACAAUAUCUCAUUAAUGUGACCUCAAAUCAGGUAGGACUACCCGCUGAACUUAAGCAUAUCAAUAAGCGGAGGAAAAGAAACUAACAAGGAUUCCCCUAGUAACUGCGAGUGAAGCGGGAAAAGCUCAAAUUUAAAAUCUGGCAGUCUCCGGCUGUCCGAGUUGUAAUCUAGAGAAGUGCUAUCCGCGCUGGACCGUGUACAAGUCUCCUGGAAUGGAGCGUCAUAGAGGGUGAGAAUCCCGUCUUUGACACGGACUCCCAGGGCUUUGUGAUGCGCUCUCAAAGAGUCGAGUUGUUUGGGAAUGCAGCUCAAAAUGGGUGGUAAAUUCCAUCUAAAGCUAAAUAUUGGCGAGAGACCGAUAGCGAACAAGUACCGUGAGGGAAAGAUGAAAAGAACUUUGGAAAGAGAGUUAAACAGUACGUGAAAUUGCUAAAAGGGAAACGCUUGAAGUCAGUCGCGUUGUCCAGGGAUCAACCUUGCUUUUGCUUGGUGCACUUUCUGGUUAACGGGUCAGCAUCAAUUUUGAUCAUUGGAAAAAGAUUAGGGGAAUGUGACAUCUUUGGAUGUGUUAUAGCCCUUGGUUGCAUGCAAUGGUUGGGAUUGAGGAACUCAGCACGCCGCAAGGCCGGGUUUUAACCACGUACGUGCU
rnacentral:rRNA from 1 species